UACGUAGGUGGCAAGCGUUAUCCGGAUUUAUUGGGUGUAAAGGGCGUGUAGGCGGGAGCGCAAGUCAGAUGUGAAAACUCAGGGCUCAACCCUGAGCCUGCAUUUGAAACCGUGUUUCUUGAGUGCUGGAGAGGCAAUCGGAAUUCCGUGUGUAGCGGUGAAAUGCGUAGAUAUACGGAGGAACACCAGUGGCGAAGGCGGAUUGCUGGACAGUAACUGACGCUGAGGCGCGAAAGCGUGGGGAGCAAACAGG
rnacentral:rRNA from 1 species